GACGAACGCUGGCGGCGUGCUUAACACAUGCAAGUCGAACGGAAAGGCCCUGCUUUUGUGGGGUGCUCGAGUGGCGAACGGGUGAGUAACACGUGAGUAACCUGCCCUGGACUUUGGGAUAACUUCAGGAAACUGGGGCUAAUACCGGAUAGGAGCUCCUGCUGCAUGGUGGGGGUUGGAAAGUUUCGGCGGUAGGGGAUGGACUCGCGGCUUAUCAGCUUGUUGGUGGGGUAGUGGCUUACCAAGGGUUUGACGGGUAGCCGGCCUGGGAGGGUGACCGGCCACAUUGGGACUGAGAUACGGCCCAGACUCCUACGGGAGGCAGCAGUGGGGAAUAUUGCACAAUGGGCGGAAGCCUGAUGCAGCAACGCCGCGUGCGGGAUGACGGCCUUCGGGUUGUAAACCGCUUUAGCCUGUGACGAAGCGUGAGUGACGGUAAUGGGUAAAGAAGCACCGGCUAACUACGUG
rnacentral:rRNA from 1 species